rnacentral:rRNA from 1 species
GAAAAUGAGAGUUUGAUCCUGGCUCAGGACGAACGCUGGCGGCGUGCCUAAUACAUGCAAGUCGAGCGAGCUUGCCUAGAUGAUUUUAGUGCUUGCACUAAAUGAAACUAGAUACAAGCGAGCGGCGGACGGGUGAGUAACACGUGGGUAACCUGCCCAAGAGACUGGGAUAACACCUGGAAACAGAUGCUAAUACCGGAUAACAACACUAGACGCAUGUCUAGAGUUUGAAAGAUGGUUCUGCUAUCACUCUUGGAUGGACCUGCGGUGCAUUAGCUAGUUGGUAA